rnacentral:lncRNA from 1 species
AGAAGAGCCUGUAACACUUUUACACCAGAAAAUAAGAAAAUUCUAAAAAAAAUAGUGGGGAUGUAAUAAUAGGUUACAGGAGUCACCUUGAAGGGACUCUCAUUAGCCAAAUAAAAAUAAAAAAUGAAAGUAACAGAUUGUAAUCCAUUGAAUAAAAUAGGGAUUCAUGAAUCCAUACUGAUAUAAAUAAACAAAUGACCAGUAAAAUACAUGGAGAUGUGUAAGCUCUUCUUUAGCAAAGAAUGACAGCUCAUAAAUGGAACACAAUGGAAAUAGAAUUUUUGUUUGGUGACCAUUAUAAUGGUGAUUGAUUUAGGCAGGAGGUAUCAAUUGAAGCAAAACCUGGUGGAUAAAGUUCUGAUGAGGAUCAAAUGUUGGUAUAGCAUCAGAAUAUCUCCUACAAAACUCUAAUAAAUUACAAAGGAAAAAUUGUAACUUUAUGGUGGAGAAACUUGGCAGAAAUCAAGAUAAUCAAGGUUAAAUUGCCAAUAUUGAGAUGGGUAGAUGCCAGGUGGCCUCUGAUACACUGAGAAGAGCACAGCACAGUUACUAGUAAUGAGAAAUAUGCAGAUUUAAAAUAUAUAAUUCUAAACUAACAAAUCACUGAAGUCUAAGAAUUAUAUACAUGUACACAGAAAGGCACACAAGCAAGGAGAGGUUAAGAAAUUCUUGUAUACUUAAGAUGGAAAAAUUAAUUGGAUCAAUCUUUUCAAUGAAGACUUUCAUAAUAUAAUAAGUAAUAUUAAUCUUUUUAUUUUUCCAUUUAGAUCUGACAAAAACACUGAAAUAUUGAUGUUUUACCCCAUUUAUAGAUGAAGAAAUAAUAGAGACAUUGAACAUCUUGCCUAAAGUCACACUCUAAUAAGUUGUAGAACAAGACUCACCGAUCUGUCUGAGCAUUUGUCCUGACUUGAGUCAUGAAAAUAUUUCUGAUCUUUCAUUCAGCACCAGAGGACCUUGGACAUUAUCAGUAUGGGAGGGUAGUAUGUUUCUGACAUGUCAGGGUACAAAUAUGGACGCCAGUCACCAAUAAGCCUCUUCCUGAACAAGUGUGAUGGAGAAAAGCCCAUUUCAGAUCUACUGCGGGUCCGUGCUCUCAGGGAUCAUGGACCCCACAGUGAGUGAAGACAUCAGCAGUGGUGGCAAUUUGUCGUGAGCGUCCCUCUAAGGAA